GGUUAAGCGACUAAGCGUACACGGUGGAUGCCCUGGCAGUCAGAGGCGAUGAAGGGCGUGCUAAUCUGCGAUAAGCGCCGGUAAGGUGAUAUGAACCGUUAUAACCGGCGAUACCCGAAUGGGGAAACCCAGUGUGACUCGUCACACUAUCAUUAACUGAAUCCAUAGGUUAAUGAGGCGAACCGGGGGAACUGAAACAUCUAAGUACCCCGAGGAAAAGAAAUCAACCGAGAUUCCCCCAGUAGCGGCGAGCGAACGGGGAGGAGCCCAGAGCCUGAAUCAGCAUGUGUGUUAGUGGAAGCGUCUGGAAAGGCGCGCGAUACAGGGUGACAGCCCCGUACACAAAAGCGCAUGUGCUGUGAGCUCGAUGAGUAGGGCGGGACACGUGGUAUCCUGUCUGAAUAUGGGGGGACCAUCCUCCAAGGCUAAAUACUCCUGACUGACCGAUAGUGAACCAGUACCGUGAGGGAAAGGCGAAAAGAACCCCGGCGAGGGGAGUGAAAAAGAACCUGAAACCGUGUACGUACAAGCAGUGGGAGCCCCACCACUAAGCCAGUGGUGAACUCCACAUACGCAUCCUUUGCUGAGGAUACGGUUAACGGAGCGAAAGCGACGUUCAACCUCAAAAGAAGCAGAGGGGGCUUAGUGGUGGGGUGACUGCGUACCUUUUGUAUAAUGGGUCAGCGACUUAUAUUCUGUAGCAAGGUUAACCGAAUAGGGGAGCCGGAGGGAAACCGAGUCUUAAUUGGGCGUUAAGUUGCAGGGUAUAGACCCGAAACCCGGUGAUCUAGCCAUGGGCAGGUUGAAGGUUGGGUAACACUAACUGGAGGACCGAACCGACUAAUGUUGAAAAAUUAGCGGAUGACCUGUGGCUGGGGGUGAAAGGCCAAUCAAACCGGGAGAUAGCUGGUUCUCCCCGAAAGCUAUUUAGGUAGCGCCUCGUGAACUCAUCUCCGGGGGUAGAGCACUGUUUCGGCUAGGGGGCCAUCCCGGCUUACCAACCCGAUGCAAACUGCGAAUACCGGAGAAUGUUAUCACGGGAGACACACGGCGGGUGCUAACGUCCGUCGUGAAGAGGGAAACAACCCAGACCGCCAGCUAAGGUCCCAAAGUCAUGGUUAAGUGGGAAACGAUGUGGGAAGGCCCAGACAGCCAGGAUGUUGGCUUAGAAGCAGCCAUCAUUUAAAGAAAGCGUAAUAGCUCACUGGUCGAGUCGGCCUGCGCGGAAGAUGUAACGGGGCUAAACCAUGCACCGAAGCUGCGGCAGCGACGCUGAUGCGUUGUUGGGUAGGGGAGCGUUCUGUAAGCCUGCGAAGGUGGCCUGUGAGGGUUGCUGGAGGUAUCAGAAGUGCGAAUGCUGACAUAAGUAACGAUAAAGCGGGUGAAAAGCCCGCUCGCCGGAAGACCAAGGGUUCCUGUCCAACGUUAAUCGGGGCAGGGUGAGUCGACCCCUAAGGCGAGGCCGAAAGGCGUAGUCGAUGGGAAACGGGUUAAUAUUCCCGUACUUGGUGUUACUGCGAAGGGGGGACGGAGAAGGCUAUGUUGGCCGGGCGACGGUUGUCCCGGUUUAAGCGUGUAGGCUGGUUUUCCAGGCAAAUCCGGAAAAUCAAGGCUGAGGCGUGAUGACGAGGCACUACGGUGCUGAAGCAACAAAUGCCCUGCUUCCAGGAAAAGCCUCUAAGCAUCAGGUAACAUCAAAUCGUACCCCAAACCGACACAGGUGGUCAGGUAGAGAAUACCAAGGCGCUUGAGAGAACUCGGGUGAAGGAACUAGGCAAAAUGGUGCCGUAACUUCGGGAGAAGGCACGCUGACACGUAGGUGAAGUGAUUUACUCACGGAGCUGAAGUCAGUCGAAGAUACCAGCUGGCUGCAACUGUUUAUUAAAAACACAGCACUGUGCAAACACGAAAGUGGACGUAUACGGUGUGACGCCUGCCCGGUGCCGGAAGGUUAAUUGAUGGGGUCAGCGCAAGCGAAGCUCCUGAUCGAAGCCCCGGUAAACGGCGGCCGUAACUAUAACGGUCCUAAGGUAGCGAAAUUCCUUGUCGGGUAAGUUCCGACCUGCACGAAUGGCGUAAUGAUGGCCAGGCUGUCUCCACCCGAGACUCAGUGAAAUUGAACUCGCUGUGAAGAUGCAGUGUACCCGCGGCAAGACGGAAAGACCCCGUGAACCUUUACUAUAGCUUGACACUGAACAUUGAGCCUUGAUGUGUAGGAUAGGUGGGAGGCUUUGAAGUGUGGACGCCAGUCUGCAUGGAGCCGACCUUGAAAUACCACCCUUUAAUGUUUGAUGUUCUAACGUGGACCCGUUACCCGGGUUGCGGACAGUGUCUGGUGGGUAGUUUGACUGGGGCGGUCUCCUCCUAAAGAGUAACGGAGGAGCACGAAGGUUGGCUAAUCCUGGUCGGACAUCAGGAGGUUAGUGCAAUGGCAUAAGCCAGCUUGACUGCGAGCGUGACGGCGCGAGCAGGUGCGAAAGCAGGUCAUAGUGAUCCGGUGGUUCUGAAUGGAAGGGCCAUCGCUCAACGGAUAAAAGGUACUCCGGGGAUAACAGGCUGAUACCGCCCAAGAGUUCAUAUCGACGGCGGUGUUUGGCACCUCGAUGUCGGCUCAUCACAUCCUGGGGCUGAAGUAGGUCCCAAGGGUAUGGCUGUUCGCCAUUUAAAGUGGUACGCGAGCUGGGUUUAGAACGUCGUGAGACAGUUCGGUCCCUAUCUGCCGUGGGCGCUGGAGAACUGAGGGGGGCUGCUCCUAGUACGAGAGGACCGGAGUGGACGCAUCACUGGUGUUCGGGUUGUCAUGCCAAUGGCACUGCCCGGUAGCUAAAUGCGGAAGAGAUAAGUGCUGAAAGCAUCUAAGCACGAAACUUGCCCCGAGAUGAGUUCUCCCUGAGACUUUAGGUCUCCUGAAGGAACGUUGAAGACGACGACGUUGAUAGGCCGGGUGUGUAAGCGCAGCGAUGCGUUGAGCUAACCGGUACUAAUGAACCGUGAGGCUUAACCUU
rnacentral:rRNA from 1 species